UACGUAGGGUGCAAGCGUUGUCCGGAAUUACUGGGCGUAAAGCGUGCGUAGACGGUUAUUUAAGUCGGGUGUGAAAGCCCCGGGCUCAACCUGGGAAUUGCAUUCGAGACUGAAUAGCUAGGGUACGGUAGAGGGAACUGGAAUUUACGGUGUAGCAGUGAAAUGCGUAGAUAUCGUAAGGAAGACCAGUGGCGAAGGCGAGUUCCUGGACAGUUGCUGACGCUGAGGCACGAAGGCCAGGGGAGCAAACGGG
rnacentral:rRNA from 1 species